rnacentral:rRNA from 1 species
GUCCGCACGAGCGCACCCUUAUCCUUAGUUUGCCAGCACGUAAUGGUGGGAACUCUGGGGAGACUGCCGGUGAUAAACCGGAGGAAGGUGGGGACGACCUCUAGUCAUCACUGGCCCUUACGGGAUGGGCUACACACGUGCUACAAUGGCGCAUACAAAGGGCAGCAAGCCNGCGAUGGUUAGCGAAUCUCAUAAAGUGCGUCGUAAUCCGGAUUGGAGUCUGCAACUCGACUCCUUGAAGUCGGAAUCGCUAGUAAUCGUGGAUCAGAAUGCCACGGUGAAUACGUUCCCGGGCCUUGUACACACCGCCCGUCACACCAUGGGAGUGGGCUGCACCAGAAGUGGUUAGUUUAACCUUCGGGAGAACGAUCACCACGGUGUGGUUCAUGACUGGGGUGAAGUCGUAACAAGGUAGCCGUAGGGGAACCUGCGGCUGGAUCACCUCCUU